GUUUCAAAUGCGUUCCGGAUGCGUUCCACUUGCGUGUCAUGUCCUUAAUAGCGAAAUCGGAAGUGCAUGAAAUCCUUCAAAUAACUAUUAGUUAUCAGAAUAACAAACCAUUUGAAACGCGGAAGUAAGAGAAUGCAUACACUUCUGGUUCCGGUUUCACUGAACGCGACGAAUUUGAUUGAAGUAGAAACCCGAAAGUAUUAUCAGCUGAGAGAAGCUGCCCCUGCACCAAUGGAGAUCCUGAGGACUGGAAACACCCACAGUAUGGGGCAAUUGGACACAGGGACUAGCCCUAUUGUAUUAAGGGGGGGUAGGGGGGGUAGGAUAUGUCAUUUUACAAUUAUAUUGAUUUUAUUAUUAUUGCGGUCCCUGAAGAAGAUCCGGAACAAAACGCGUUGGACCUACCGCUUUAUUCUUAUCUUUUGUAUUUAUG